GUGCCAGCCGCCGCGGUAAAACGUAGGAGGCGAGCGUUAUCCGGAUUCAUUGGGCGUAAAGGGCAAGUAGGCGGUAUGCAAAGUUGGUUGUGACAUCUCCCGGCUCAACUGGGAGGGUGCGGCCAAAACUAGCGUACUAGAGGGCAGAAGAGGGAAGUGGAAUUCCUGGUGUAGCGGUGGAAUGCUCAGAUACCAGGAGGAACACCAGUGGCGAAGGCGACUUUCUGGUCUGCACCUGACGCUGAGAGGCGAAAGCUAGGGGAGCGAACGGGCUUAGAUACCCCGGUAGUCCUAGCUGUAAACGUUGGAUACUGGGUAUUUGGGGGGUAAGACCCUUGAGUGCCGAAGCAAACGCGUUAAGUAUCCCGCCUGGGGACUACGGCCGCAAGGUUAAAACUCAAAUAAAUUGACGG
rnacentral:rRNA from 1 species